UGGCCUUUAGUUUCGUAAGAGGGAAGAUAAAGUCACUGAUAGCAACUAAAAUAGGACUAUUUGCUACUAAGUUCGAGGAAACAGUUAUGGUGUCAGUUGAGCUGUAUAACGUAGUACAACAAAAUACAGGUUAUCAACAGAAGUUUAGAAAGACUAUAUGAGAGGAUGUUUCCAUGUCCACACAUACCAAUGAUUGGAGUUCUUUCUAAAUGAGCGGUAAUUCCAAUAUUCUUGGCUCCUUAAAUAACCAUUAGUUUAUCAUUUACCACUUGGUUGAUCGUGUGACACUGUUGAUGAAAAACUACGCGGUACUUUUCUUUUUACAGACAAAAUUGAGUUUUAAUUCAUCUAAAAAAUCAACGACAUAUAUUUCUAAAAUUAUUAUUUGCAUUUUUGUCGAGGAUAAAAGAUUUUUCUUUAAGAAAUAAGGACGUAAUUUUUGCAAGUAGUAUAUCGAAAUUUUUAACUGUGUUAUAGUGAUAGUACAGGGAG